UACGUAGGGGGCGAGCGUUGUCCGGAAUGAUUGGGCGUAAAGGGUGCGUAGGUGGUUCGUUAAGUCUGAUGUGAAAGCCCUGGGCUCAACCUGGGAAUUGCAUUGGAUACUGGCGGGCUGGAGUGCGGUAGAGGGUAGUGGAAUUCCCGGUGUAGCAGUGAAAUGCGUAGAUAUCGGGAGGAACAUCCGUGGCGAAGGCGACUGCCUGGACCAGCACUGACACUGAGGCACGAAAGCGUGGGGAGCAAACAGGAUUAGAUACCCCCGUAGU
rnacentral:rRNA from 1 species